GCGGCGGACGGGUGAGUCGGCGGGGGUCACCUGCCCAUACCUGUGGGAUAACUCCGGGAAACCGGGGCUAAUACCGGAUAACAUUUUGAACCGUAUGGAUCGAAAGUGAAAGGCGGCUUCGGCUGUCACUUGUGGAUGGACCCGCUGGRCAUUAGCUGCUUGGUGAGGUAACGGCUCACCCGGCAACGAUGGSCACCCGACCUGAGAGGGCGAUCGGGCAGAUCGGGACUGAUACACACUGCCACACUCCUACGGGAGGUACCGGUGGGGAAUCUUCGGCAUUGGACGAAAUGCUGACGGAUCAACGCCACGUGAGUGACGAGACUUUCGGGGCUUAAAACUCUGUUGACUCGGAAGAACAAGUGCUACUUGAAUGAGCUGGACCCUUGACCGUACCUAACCAUAAAGCCACGGAUAACUAC
rnacentral:rRNA from 1 species